rnacentral:rRNA from 1 species
UACGUAGGGGGCAAGCGUUGUCCGGAUUUAUUGGGCGUAAAGAGCGUGUAGGCGGCCAGAUAGGUCCGUUGUGAAAACUGGAGGCUUAACCUCCAGCUGUCGAUGGAAACCAUCUGGCUAGAGUCCGGAAGAGGAGAGUGGAAUUCCUGGUGUAGCGGUGAAAUGCGCAGAUAUCAGGAAGAACACCCGUGGCGAAGGCGGCUCUCUGGGACGGUACUGACGCUGAGGUGCGAAAGCGUGGGGAGCAAACAGG